UGAGUAUAGUUUAACAAAAACCCCUGGGCAGUGGCCCCAGAAAUAAGGACUUUCCUUUACUCACC
rnacentral:tRNA from 1 species